rnacentral:rRNA from 1 species
CUACGUGCCAGCAGCCGCGGUAAUACGGAAGGUCCUGGUGUUAUCCGGAUUUAUUGGGUUUAAAGGGAGCGUAGGCCGCAGAUUAAGUGUGUUGUGAAAUUCAGGCGCCCAACGUCUGACUUGCAGCGCAAACUGGUCUGCUUGAGUUCGCGCAACGCAGGCGGAAUUCGUCGUGUAGCGGUGAAAUGCUUAGAUAUGACGAAGAACUCCGAUUGCGAAGGCAGCUUGCGGGAGCGUUACUGACGCUGAAGCUCGAAAGUGCGGGUAUCGAACAGGAUUAGAUACCCUGGUAGUCCGCACGGUAAACGAUGGAUGCCCGCUGUUGGUACCUGGUAUCAGCGGCUAAGCGAAAGCAUUAAGCAUCCCACCUGGGGAGUACGCCGGCAACGGUGAAACUCAAAGGAAUUGACGGGGGCCCGCACAAGCGGAGGAACAUGUGGUUUAAUUCGAUGAUACGCGAGGAACCUUACCCGGGCUUGAA